rnacentral:rRNA from 1 species
UACGUAGGGUCCGAGCGUUGUCCGGAAUUACUGGGCGUAAAGCGCGCGUAGGCGGCCCGCGAGGUGUCACGUGAAAGCCCCGGGCUCAACCCGGGAGGGUCGUGGCAAACCGGCGGGCUUGAGGCCGGUAGAGGUGGGUGGAACUCCUGGUGGAGUGGUGAAAUGCGUAGAGAUCAGGAAGAACACCCGUGGCGAAGGCGGCCCACUGGGCCGGUACUGACGCUGAGGCGCGAAGGCGUGGGGAGCGAACGGG